UAAAGCCAAAUUAAGUCACAGCUUUCAGCUACUAGCAAUCAAAAGCAUUCUAACAGAUAACACGAAAGAAAUCUGUGGUCAUCCCAUAGCCAUAAUGAACAGUCCCUACCCUUAAAGACACUUUGCCUGGGUGUCUUGCGUUCUGCACAUUCCGGAGGACCAGCUUCCUCAUCAGAAGUCUGACUCCAUGGAAACCAGAUGGGGCAACGGGGUGGUUCUAGUGCAGACUGUAGCUGCAGCUCCUCUCCACCUCUAGCCUGCUCAUUUCCAGCUCAGAAAUUCUACUAAUGGCGUUUUUUCUUCCUGAAAAAGGAAAUGAACAGGGUCCCUGCUGAUUCUCCAAAUAUGUGUCUAAUCUGUUUACUGAGUUCCAUAGCACUUGGAGCCAUCCAUGCAAAAAUCUGUAGAAGAGCAUUCCAGGAAGAGGGAAGAGCAAAUGCAAAGACGGGCGUGAGAGCUUGGUGCAUACAGCCAUGGGCCAAAUAAAGUUUCCUUGGAAUAGCCA
rnacentral:lncRNA from 1 species